ensembl:Mt_tRNA
GUUAAUGUAGCUUAAACUACCAAAGCAAAGCACUGAAAAUGCUUAGACGGGUUAGCUAACCCCAUAAACA